CAGGCUGCCGGAGCCAGCAGUGGCAACCGGAGUCCUUUUCCACACUGUGGAAGCUUUGUUCUUUUGCUCUUUGCAAUAAAUCUUGCUGCUGCUCACUCUUUGGGUCCACACUGCCUUUAUGAGCUGUAACACUCACCGUGAAGGUCUGCAGCUUUACUCCUGAAGCCAGCGAGACCACGAACCCACCGGCAGGAACGAACAACUCCAGACGCGCCGCCUUAAGAGCUGUAACACUCACCGCGAAGGUCUGCAGCUUCACUCCUGAGCCAGCGAGACCACGAACCCACCGGAAGGAAGAAACUCUGAACACAUCCGAACAUCAGAAGGAACAAACUCCGGACACGCCGCCUUUAAGAACUGUUAACACUCACCGCAAGGGUCCGCGGCUUCGUUCUUGAAGUCAGUGAGACCAAGAACCCACCAAUUCCGGACACAAGGGGAGCUGACUUUCAUUAUAAAGAUUUUCUCAUUGCAAAGUGAAAAAGAGAAUAAUAACUUUAAAACAAGGCAGAAAGUAAAGAGAACUGGAAGCGAGGAACAUGCUCUGAACUAGAACUGGCAACAUGAGAGAUGAGCUCAGGCUUCAAAAUGGUGUCUGCACUGGGUCUUGAAGGAAGAGCAGAGUUUGGGCAUUUAGAAACCAAGAAUUCCAGCCGGUUUCUUCAGACUGAUAACAAGAAUCAGCAAAAGUCUGAGAGCAGGAGUGCAGCUCAUUGGUACAGCAGCCAUAGUAAACAAGGAGGAAGGGAAUCCCUUCAUGAGGACAGGAGGGAAAGAAGGAGGAUUUACUUUAAACCUGUUGACAAGUCUCAGAGCAUGGUGCUGGCAUCUGGCAAGGGCCUUAUCCCAUGGCAGAAGGCAGAAGUGAGUACACAAGACAGAGGGAAGAAGGAGGCCAGACUCCCAAGAUGAAUGAACUAAUAUCUGAUGCUCAAGGAAACCAUAAAUGAUAAAAGGAUAAUGGGCUCGGCCUGAAGCCAACCGUGUAACUCUUUGGUAGAGACUCACUGGUAAUCACAGGCCAGCAGUCAAAUAAUCUGUUGCUCUGAUUCUCUGGAGUGUUGAUGGUGCCUGGUAAACCUUAGAGAAGCUUCCUUCGCACUCAUUUUUCAAGAGCUCCUCCUGGAGCAUCCCCACAGGGAAUUUUCCUACCAGUGACCUGUCUCCUGUCCCACCAUAUCCCGGGUCACUCUCCCAUGAUGGACAGUCAAGCAUCAGUUCUUGGAACAUUUCCCUACCAGCAGAGGGAACCCUCACCUUCAGAAAUGAAUGGCAGUAUCAUCAGAACAACCACCCAUAUGUUUUCCCAAAGCAAGACAUUGUGAGGUGUUAAGAGAUAUAUGCAGUAACAGAACUUCAGAAUGUUAGAGCCAUCUGGAAUAAAGACCGUAUUUCUCAGCCUCCCUUGCAGUAUGGAGAUGUUGCUGGACAAUGGCUGCCCCUUCAAGGACUAUUAUUUCCCAGCCUCUCCCCCUUGCAUCCAGGUAGACCCUGUUACCGAUGCAUGUCUACGUUACCUCUAGGAGACAGGUGGCUGACCCAUGCAUUGUACUGUAUGUCCACGGGCUUUCCAGGUUAAUUCUGCAUACGGGACAUAAUAAAAAGGCGCUUUUAGAGAGAGAGCUGGGCACUCUGUGGAGUUUCUUUAUAUGACCUGAGGCCUUACUCUAGUGGCACAGUUAAUACUGGUGAGAAUCACAAUAGACUAUAUUUGCAUUCAUCCUGGGGACAGCUUUGAAUUCACCCACACAUUGUAAUAAGUAGAACGUUUGCCCACAGAUUUCACAUUGCUCUAGUGUCUUAAUGAUCUUCCCCCAGUGCCUGUGAUAGACUUAAACAUAAUAGAAGCCAAUUUUGACUCGAAUUCAAUGUUCUCUGUAGGAGAGGAUGACUGAAGUUUAAUUAUAAUUCCUUUAUACCAAAUGUGUAUGCAUUCUCCAGCAUUUGAUGGGAUUCCUCCAAAAUUUCCAUCUCAAAAUCAGCCCAUCAGUAGAACAGUCACAUGCUGCCCAGUUAAUUAUAAUGGAAUGUGAUGGUUUGGGGCUGUAUUCCAAACAGAGCACCAUGACAUCUAUGCAAACAAGCUUCUGAAAAGCUAAUAAGACAAGGGUCUUUGUGCUAUUUCAAAUGUUUUUAUUUUGUUUUGUUUUUUCUCCUUAUGUAAAUAUGCCAAAGAUGGACUAACAAAAAAUGUUGGUUAUGUAGUUUUUUGUUACAUAUGUAGGCCAUUUCAUUUCCCCUCAUCUUCUCUGUUUCCUAUGUACAGCUAGGAAUAAAACUCACAGUUCUUCCAAGACUCAGAAGUUUAAGACAUAUUCUAGCACAUGGUGGAUUUAAAACAUAUUCACUGUUACUUUUGAAAAUUACAUUUUCCCAAUAUAAGUACCUUUUAGAAGAGUGCAUAAUGGACUUUGUAGUAAAGGCAAUAAUCAGUCUUUAUGUUUAUUUUGUGUCUCCUAAAUCACAGACCUGAAUAAAAGAUGCUACAUAGAAAACUGUAUUUCAUAAAUUAAAUUGAUACUUUGUGGAUUACUAUGUAUGUUUAACAUACAUGUAUGUGGAAGGGGAUGGUUGAAGGUGUAUUCCCCAAAUAAUACAACAGAGGGACUUUAACAGAGAAGGCAGGAGAAGUAUCAAUCUGAAU
rnacentral:lncRNA from 1 species